AGAGUUUGAUCAUGGCUCAGGAUGAACGCUAGCGGCAGGCCUAAUACAUGCAAGUCGAACGGGAUCCGCCAGCUUGCUGGCGGUGAGAGUGGCGCACGGGUGCGUAACGCGUGAGCAACCUGCCCGUCCCAGGGGGAUAGCCCCUCGAAAGAGGGAUUAACACCGCAUGACGUUGAAUCGCGGCAUCGUGAUUCGACCAAAUAUUUAUAGGGGACGGAUGGGCUCGCGUGGCAUUAGUUAGUUGGUGGGGUAACGGCCCACCAAGACGAUGAUGCCUAGGGGCUCUGAGAGGAGAAUCCCCCACACUGGUACUGAGACACGGACCAGACUCCUACGGGAGGCAGCACGUAAGGAAUAUUGGUCAAUGGGCGGGAGCCUGAACCAGCCAUGCCGCGUGCAGGAGGACUGCCCUAUGGGUUGUAAACUGCUUUUGCGAGGGAACAAACCGGCGGUACGCGUACCGUUUUGAGUGUACCUUGAGAAUAAGGAUCGGCUAACUCCGUGCCAGCAGCCGCGGUAAUACGGAGGAUCCGAGCGUUAUCCGGAUUUAUUGGGUUUAAAGGGUGCGUAGGCGGCGUGCUAAGUCAGGGGUGAAAGACGGUGGCUCAACCAUCGCAGUGCCUUUGAUACUGGUGCGCUUGAAUGCGGAUGAGGUAGGCGGAAUGUGGCAAGUAGCGGUGAAAUGCCUUGAUAUGCCACAGAACACCGAUUGCGAAGGCAGCUUACCAGGGCGCGAUUGACGCUGAUGCACGAAAGCGUGGGGAUCGAACAUGGAUUAGAUACCCUGGUAGUCCACGCCCUAACGAUGCGAACUGGAUGUUGGGUGCAACUUGGCACCCAGUAUCGAAGCUAACGCGUUAAGUUCGCCGCCUGGGAGUACGGUCGCAAGACUGAAACUCAAAGGAAUUGACGGGGCCGCCACAGCGGUGGAGUAUGUGGUUAAUUCGAUGCAACGCGAAGAACCUUAC
rnacentral:rRNA from 1 species